AUAAACUGCAGGUGCAACUUUUAGUCCUGUAAAUGUGUGCUCCUUUCCUAACUUUAUUUGCUUUGCACAGUUCACUCCAUGGGACUUCAGUGGAGCAUAAGGUCUCAUGUUGACCCUCUGCGCUGGAAUGAAUUUCCUACUAAGGUCUUAAUCCUGAGUGGUGCUGAGGAUCUCUGUGUGAUUAAUUCCAGGUGAAGAAAAUGCAUAUAUUCGCCAUAUCUCUGCUGCAUGUUUGCCAUGGAUGCCUGCGGGAAAGACCUUGCUGAAACAGACUUGUUUUCUUCCACUGAGUUACUGGCUUCUACUCACAUACACUGAUGGAGAAACACCCAUGCCAUGUGCUGCAGUGGGCAAAUGAAGAAGUGAGGUUUUUACCCACGAAAGCUUAUGCCCAAAUAAAUCUGUUAAUCUUUAAGGUGCCACCAAACUCCUUGUUGUUUUUGUAGAUACAGACUAACACGGCUACCUCCAGCUGCAGUGAAACUUCCAUUUAUGGGGAAAUUAUCUUGCGAAAGAAACUCUAGAUAAAGUUCCCUCUCAGAGGAUUGAGCUGUAUACAUGGACAAGAGCCUGGGGAGGCCAUAAAUAGACUCUGGGAAGGGAAUAAGGAAGGUGGGCCUGACCUGCAGCCCCAGAGCCCUCACAGGUAAUCACACAGCGACAUGAAGAUGGAGGGAAAGGGAGACUAGCCCUCUUUAUGUUGGAAGAACAUGUAGCAACUCAUGGAACAGUCAGCGGGAAGAAGUUGUCAGUGCUGGGGCGCAGAGUCAAGCUACAUCCUUGGGACACCAUGUCCCAAAAGCACGCCAGAGGUAUUAGCAAUGCCCAGAAGGGAAUCGGAGCUCCACGUGCCGCUGUACCAUUGGCAUUCCAGUGCAGACCUUACACAAGAACAAUAAUGGGAGGAAACACCAUCUAGGGUUUAAAGCAGAGGAACUGAUAUUCAGGCCUCCUGGGAUCUAUUCUGUGCUCUGUCACCAUGUAACCUGUGGCCUCUUUGUGCCUCUGUUCACCCAUCUGUACAUGGCAGUUGAUGAUACUGACCCUACCUCCCAAAGCUGUUGUGAGGUUAAUUAAUGAGUGUUUGCAAGUUGCUUUGAGAUCCCCCAUGAAAGGCACAACAGAAAUGCAAACUGCAUACACAUUUUUCCUUCUCUCCCCAGGCUCAAAUACAUUAUUGAUUUGCUCAUUUAACAGGGGCCACUUGUCAAAAGCAUAAUAGCAUUAGCAACACUUGACGUAAUAGGGGAAUGGAGAGGUCCGUGAUUAAGUUUAGACAGUCUUGUCUGACUUAGCUAAUUGGUUAAAUACAUUUGGUUACAUGUGCAGCUUUGGGCUUUUGGCUUCAAUAAGAUAUAAUAUUAAUGCUAAUUAAAGCUCAACAGAGUUGGCCAAAUA